GAUGAACGCUGGCGGCGUGCCUAAUACAUGCAAGUCGAGCGAACGGACGAGAAGCUUGCUUCUCUGAUGUUAGCGGCGGACGGGUGAGUAACACGUGGAUAACCUACCUAUAAGACUGGGAUAACUUCGGGAAACCGUAGCUAAUACCGGAUAAUAUUUUGAACCGCAUGGUUCAAAAGUGAAAGACGGUCUUGCUGUCACUUAUAGAUGGAUACGCGCUGCAUUAGCUAGUUUGUAAGGUAACGGCUUACCAAGGCAACGAUGCAUAGCCGACCUGAGAGGGUGAUCGGCCACACUGGAACUGAGACACGGUCCAGACUCCUACGGGAGGCAGCAGUAGGGAAUCUUCCGCAAUGGGCGAAAGCCUGACGGAGCAACGCCGCGUGAGUGAUGAAGGUCUUCGGAUCGUAAAACUCUGUUAUUAGGGAAGAACAUAUGUGUAAGUAACUGUGCACAUCUUGACGGUACCUAAUCAGAAAGCCACGGCUAACUACGUG
rnacentral:rRNA from 1 species